AAUAAAGGGUUUGGGAGGGUUAGUAAUUUCAAGAGGGUUUCAAGGCAGUUUAGGUAUGAAAAAGGGUAGUUCUUUUAAAAUUGGUGAAUUUAAAACAAAGUCAAGGAUAAUAUAGGCAUUGCAUAGGCAAAAGAACACUCUAGAACCCUCUAGAUGGGGGUACAAGUGGAAUUUCAGUAAUUUUAGAUAGUUAUUUGAAUGACAAGUUAGAAAAAUAAAGGAUUAAAAAGAAAUAAAAGAGGGACUAAUAGUGCAAACUGAAAAUCUGAGGGCUGCCCCAUCUUUUUCAAUAUAAAGCAGCCCCAAUGCCUUAAUCAACAAGUUUGGAACCCAUAAAAAUUUCCCCCAAAAGUCUCUACAAUGGGAGCAGAUCUGAAUUUGAAUUCAAAAUUCAAAGUUCUUCCAGAUUUUAGUUCAUAUCUAUAGAAAAUAGAAAUAAAAAAUAGAAAAUCUCUAAAAAAACCCAAAAACAAACUAUUUCAUUGCUUGUUUAUUAGGUUGCUUUCAAAUUUCAGCUUUCAUACAAUUUUUGGCUAAUUUAGGAUAAAAAAAAUAGUUGGAAUUCUCUCAAUACUUGAAGUGUGGGAGUAUUUGACACUGCCUGGGCAUUGUUUGGUUUAAUCGAGCUAGUUUUGGGUGUUAUUCAUCAAACGUGUGGAUUGCUGGCUUAUUUCUGGCUAUUUGGUGUGAUUAUGUUUGGAUAUGUUUGAUUUUUCUUGGGUUUAAAUCAUUUCUGGACUGUUAAUUGCUCCUGAUAGUUGGUUACAGUUGCUGAUCUUUUCCUUCUUCUUACUGUAUUUCGACAUCCAGGUAUGUUCCCAGAUUCAAGGUGCUGGAACCAAACUAAUAUGUAGAAAAUCAUUUGAAAUUGAUUAAAGAAUAAUUGAAGCUUGAACUGUUGAUUCGCUGUGACUGCAUUUCUGCAGAUUUGCUCAUAUUUUGUUUAGUUUGUUUUUUUCUCGUGUGGUUGAUUAAUUUGGAUUGGAAUUUCAGUAGUGUAUAUCUGGACAGUUAAGAUCGUUUGGAAAAAAAUUGAUUUCCUUUUCUCGAUUACCUAAAGUGUUACGUUUAAAUAAGUCUAGAUCUGAAUCAUUUGAGAUUGUCAUUCGUAUUGCUAUGUGAUAGUUUGAAUUAAGAAAUGCAGAACAGUCUACAGUCACGUUGAAAUGAGAUUGUGAGCAGCAGUAUAUCUGAUGAUGUGUUGACAGCAGUAUAAAGUGUCAUUCGUAUUGCUAUGAUAAUUGUUAGGUUGAUGCAUUAGCUUGUUUAGUACUGAUUGAGAUUUUUCCCUUGGUUUUAAUGCAAAAAUGAAGUUAAACUUAAAGAAUGAUUGCAGAACCUUGUAACAUGUAUUAUUUCACUAAAUUCUGAAAGGCGUAUCAAUAACAUGAUGGCGUCCGGUCGCGAGGCUGGGCAAGCCCGACCAAACCACAACCAAGAAUGGUAUUCCAGCCAAAAAGAAAACAAUUUAAGGUAACGCAACAAAUUUCACAUCAACUCUCCACCAGGGGUAGACAAUACCAAUGAAAAUACAACUGAUGAAGAACAAUAAUCCUCCCAAAACUGAGGAGUCACGAGUACAGAGCCUCUAACAAGACGAGAUACAAGUCUGAACAGUAAUGGUACCAAAGUCUGACAAAAUAGCAAAAAAAAAAAAGAACAGACUGAUAGAGACAGAGUAAGUGGUCCUGCGGACAGUGGGCAACUACCUCAAUACUCUGUAAAGCUCGGGUAAUCAACAACAACAACACUAGGUCUCUGGAGCACCUGGAUCUGCACACAAGGUACAUGGAGUAUGGGUUGAGUCUACCAACUCAGUGAGUAAUAGAAAUAAAUAAUAACUGAAUGUAAGAAAUCCGGUAGAAGUACUAUACAAUUCUAUGCAACAACAAGAACAGUAAAUAAGUACCAAACAGAGGGAAGAAUCUGAUAAAAUACUUUCCU
rnacentral:lncRNA from 1 species